CACGAACGCUGGCGGCGUGCCUAAUACAUGCAAGUGGAACGCACAGAUGAUACGUAGCUUGCUACAAUUAUCUGUGAGUCGCGAACGGGUGAGUAACGCGUAGGUAACCUAGCUUAUAGCGGGGGAUAACUAUUGGAAACGAUAGCUAAUACCGCAUAAAAGUGGUUGACCCAUGUUAACCAUUUAAAAGGAGCAACAGCUCCACUAUGAGAUGGACCUGCGUUGUAUUAGCUAGUUGGUAGGGUAAAGGCCUACCAAGGCGACGAUACAUAGCCGACCUGAGAGGGUGAACGGCCACACUGGGACUGAGACACGGCCCAGACUCCUACGGGAGGCAGCAGUAGGGAAUCUUCGGCAAUGGGGGGAACCCUGACCGAGCAACGCCGCGUGAGUGAAGAAGGUUUUCGGAUCGUAAAGCUCUGUUGUUAGAGAAGAACAGUGAUGGGAGUGGAAAGUCCAUCAUUUGACGGUAACUAACCAGAAAGGGACGGCUAACUACGUGCCAGCAGCCGCGGUAA
rnacentral:rRNA from 1 species